AGUGAACGCUGGCGGUAGGCCUAACACAUGCAAGUCGAACGGCAGCACAGUAAGAGCUUGCUCUUACGGGUGGCGAGUGGCGGACGGGUGAGGAAUACAUCGGAAUCUACUUUUUCGUGGGGGAUAACGUAGGGAAACUUACGCUAAUACCGCAUACGACCUACGGGUGAAAGCAGGGGAUCCUCGGACCUUGCGCGAUUGAAUGAGCCGAUGUCGGAUUAGCUAGUUGGCGGGGUAAAGGCCCACCAAGGCGACGAUCCGUAGCUGGUCUGAGAGGAGGAUCAGCCACACUGGAACUGAGACACGGUCCAGACGCCUACGGGAGGCAGCAGUGGGGAAUAUUGGACAAUGGGCGCAAGCCUGCUCCAGCCAUGCCGCGUGGGUGAAGAAGGCCUUCGGGUUGUAAAGCCCUUUUGUUGGGAGAGAAAAGCAGCAGGUUAAUACCCCGCUGUUCUGACGGUACCCAAAGAAUAAGCGCCGGCUAACUUCGUG
rnacentral:rRNA from 1 species